rnacentral:lncRNA from 1 species
CGCCGCCGCAGUCUGCACCGCGGCUAAGCCGUCAGACGGCGCGGCUGCCGUCUCCGCCCAUUGGUUCCUGCGUGAAUUGAAUAAGCCAAUGGGCGUAGGGAGGCGGAGCCUGGACUGCAGUUGCCGGGGCCGGUCUGGUGUCUGCCCAGUUCGGUUGGGACUGAGUCUGCAGGUUUCAAACCUAAACAGCGCUCUUCAUCCUGGACGUGCGAUGGGGGAGGAGUCGGCCUGCUCAGUCCCCACGACAUAGCAGGACUAGGUUGACAAACAACCGAGAUGGGACACAUCUUGAGACCCUCACAGUCCUUGGAGGAAGGCAGACGAGAAAAAGACAAGAAAAGUGUUGAUUGGCUGCCCUUCUUAUUAAACAUCGACGCGUUCACUGACGAGGACGUAAACACCGAUCUGGCGUACCACGAGCGUGUGUAUUUUCGUUUCACAAAUACUGCUUCAUUUUGAGCAUCAAUUCUGAGGUGGGACGUUAUCACCACUUUUUCCACUGAGAGGUGACAGGUUCAGAGGUUGUUUGUCCACGUUUGCACAGCGUGUGAAGGGGAACUGAAAUUGGGAUCUACUUUCCAUACCUUUAUUCUAAGCAAUUAUCAAAUGCAAAAAAGGGAGGAGAGGAGGAGAAACAGAAAAAAAUGAAGAUAAACCUCAUCCCCUCCUCAAGGUUAUAUAUAAUUCUCCUUUGAAGAUAAAAUAGCAUUUGUUACAGACGUUUUGUGUUUGUGUGGUUAAGUGUGCCGCCAUAAUCUUCGUUUUUCUCAUCUAAAAAUACCACCUUCAUAAAACCCACACAAACACUCAAUCCACAUGACAGAACGAAACAAGUCAGGGCUAGAAGGUUUUAAGAGUGGCAGUGGGGAAGUGAGGGCGAGUCUGG